rnacentral:rRNA from 1 species
UACGGAGGGGCUAGCGUUGUUCGGAAUUACUGGGCGUAAAGCGCGCGUAGGCGGCUUUGUAAGUUAGAGGUGAAAGCCCGGAGCUCAACUCCGGAAUUGCCUUUAAGACUGCAUCGCUUGAAUCGCGGAGAGGUGAGUGGAAUUCCGGAGUGUAGAGGUGAAAUUCGUAGAUAUUCGGAAGAACACCAGUGGCGAAGGCGGCUCACUGGACGCGUAUUGAC